rnacentral:rRNA from 1 species
AUUGAACGCUGGCGGAAUGCUUUACACAUGCAAGUCGAACGGUAGAGGGGGCAACCCCUCGAGAGUGGCGAACGGGUGAGUAAUAUAUCGGAACGUGGCCAGUCGUGGGGGAUAACGUAGCGAAAGUUACGCUAAUACCGCAUACGAUCUAAGGAUGAAAGAGGGGGAUCGCAAGACCUCGCGCGAUUGGAGGGGCCGAUAUCGGAUUAGGUCGUUGGUGGGGUAAAGGCUCACCAAGCCAACGAUCUGUAGCUGGUCUGAGAGGACGACCAGCCACACUGGAACUGAGACACGGUCCAGACUCCUACGGGAGGCAGCAGUGGGGAAUUUUGGACAAUGGACGCAAGUCUGAUCCAGCCAUUCCGCGUGCAGGAUGAAGGCCCUCGGGUUGUAAACUGCUUUUGUACGGAACGAAAAGAUCUCUCUUAAUACGGGGGGCUCAUGACGGUAGCGUAAGAAUAGGCACCGGCUAACUACGUGCCAGCCGCCGCGGUAA